CCUACGGGUGGCAGCAGUGGGGAAUAUUGCACAAUGGGGGAAACCCUGAUGCAGCGACGCCGCGUGAGUGAAGAAGUAUUUCGGUAUGUAAAGCUCUAUCAGCAGGGAAGCAAAUGACGGUACCUGACUCAGAAUCCCCGGCUAACUACGUGCCAGCAGCCGCGGUAAUACGGAGGGGGCAAGCGUUAUCCGGAGUUACGGGGUGUAAAGGGAGCGUAGACGGCCAGACAAGUCAGAAGGGAAAGCCCAGGGCUCAACCCUGGGACUGCGUUUGAAACUGCCGGGCUGGAGUGCAGGAGAGGUAAGCGGAAUGCGUGGUGUAGCGGUGAAAUGCGUAGAUAUUAGGAGGAACACCAGUGGCGAAGGCGGCUUACUGGACUGUAACUGACGUUGAGGCUCGAAAGCGUGGGGAGCAAACAGGAUUAGAUACCCUUGUAGUC
rnacentral:rRNA from 1 species